AGUAGAAAGGACACCAGCUUGGAAUCAGUUCGGACCUGUGUCUGCUGCACAGCUGAAUCCCUGGGAAACUCUUUUAGUGUAGCAUGGCAGAAAGAACAAUGGCUAUGCCCACACAAAUACCUGCUGAUGGAGAUACAAUGGAGUUUCGCUCUUGUUAACCAGGCUGGAGUGCAAUGGCGCUAUCUCUGCUCACUGCAACCUCCACCUCCCAGCAAAAAGAAAAUAAUAUUCGUUGUUUAACUACGAUUGGACAUUUUGGUUUUGAAUGUUUGCCCAAUCAGUUGGUGAGCAGAUCUAUCCGACAAGGAUUCACUUUUAAUAUUCUCUGUGUGGGGGAGACUGGAAUUGGAAAAUCGACACUGAUAGACACAUUGUUUAAUACUAACUUGAAAGAUAACAAAUCCUCACAUUUUUACUCAAAUGUUGGACUUCAAAUUCAGACAUAUGAACUUCAGGAAAGCAAUGUUCAGUUGAAAUUGACUGUUGUGGAGACAGUAGGGUAUGGUGAUCAAAUA
rnacentral:lncRNA from 1 species